ensembl:snRNA U6 U6 spliceosomal RNA
GUGAGCGGCUUACUUAGACUAAAAUUGAAACAGUGGCACUGAUAGAUUAGAUGGUCCUUGUGCAAGGAUGACAGGCAAAUUUAUGAAAUGUUCCAUAUUUUU